GAUGAACGCUAGCUACAGGCUUAACACAUGCAAGUCGAGGGACCGGCGCACGGGGGAGUAACACGUAUCCAACCUGCCCUUUACUCGGGGAUAGCCUUUCGAAAGAAAGAUUAAUACCCGAUGUAAAGGGUGGGGAUGCGUUCCAUUAGGUUGGUGGUGAGGUAACGGCAAACCAAGCCUUCGAUGGUUAGGGGUUCUGAGAGGAAGGCCCCCCACAUUGGAACUGCGGCACGGUCCAAACUCCGACGCGAGGCAGCAGUGAGGUAUAUAGGUCAAUGGGCGUUAGCCUGAACCAGCCAAGUAGCGUGAAGGAUGCAGGGUUAUGGAUCGUAAACUUCUUUUAUAUAAGAAUAGGUAUUAUAUGAAUAAGGAUCGGCUAACUCCGUGCCAGCAGCCGCGGUAAUUC
rnacentral:rRNA from 1 species